UUUCUUUUAGGGAUAUGUGGCGCGAAAAUCUGUGCUAACCGACCGAGCAGAACCAAAUUGCGCGGAGUCCACCAUCGAUCUAGAUUGAUAUUCUCCUUCAAGUCCGGAUCGAUCUAGGUCUACUACGACACAAAUCGAUCAUCCAAUCUCCUCUCGCUGAGCGGGAAGGCUGGAAGGCGGCGAGCCGGCGACGGCCCGGUGAGUGGCGGGAAGGCGGAGGCGGACAGGGGAGCGGUGGCUUUGCGUGCAGCAAAGAAGGGAGAAGCGGCGAGGCUGCGGCAGGAAGGCUGUAAGUCGUCUGCUAGCAUACCCUACUCCUCUGCCCGCCCCUCCAGCCUGCCCACCGGCGGUGCUCUCCUCCUUCGGCCACCCAUCUUCUCCUUCACUGUGUACGACGGCGAGAUUAACCUCCGAGGUGUUUGGGAAUAGAUGAACUUUGGCAGCUGCUGCUCGUGUUGUAUCGUGAUGGAAAUUCAGUCCAUCAGCAAUUGAAUUCGACUAUUUGAACAUGCUAGCUGCUGUCGUACAAGAGGUUUGAUGGAUAAAGAAAGUCGCCAAUCUAAAAAUGUGGAGCCUAGCUGAAGUGAUGAAUUCAUUACUGUUAUUUGCUAUUUUUUAUUUUAUCUCCAUGUACUUUAUAAUUUGGACAAGAUUUGUAGGUGUGACUGCCCUAAAGUGUCCGUACUUGAUCUCAAAUACGUUGGUGUUGGUUGUUCUGUUUCCUAAACAUUCUUACACAUGUUACUGUCAAAGAAAAAACAUUCUUACACAUGUUCAUAUGUACCUACAUCUGGGUUGUUGCUUAUCUCAU